GACGAACGCUGGCGGCGUGCUUAACACAUGCAAGUCGAACGAAGUGGCGAACGGGUGAGUAAUACGUGGGUAAACUGCCCUCCUUUAUGGGAUAAGCCUUGGAAACGGGGCCCAAUACCGACAUAAGGGGGAGGGGCUCGCGGCCUAUCAGCUUGUUGGUGGGGUGAUGGCCUACCAGGGCGGUGACGGGUAGCCGGCGUGAGAGGGUGAUCGGACACGAUGGGAGUGAGAUACGGCCCAGACGCCUACGGGGGGCAGCAGUGGGGGAUAUUGCACAAUGGACGGAAGCCUGAUGCAGCGAUGCCGCGUGGGGGAUGAAGGCUUGAGGGUUGUAAACCUCUUUGGCAGUCGUACGGGUAGGUGAAGAAGAAGCGCCGGCUAACUACGUGCCAGCAGCCGCGGUAAUAC
rnacentral:rRNA from 1 species